AUUGAACGCUGGCGGCAGGCCUAACACAUGCAAGUCGAGCGAGUGGCGGACGGGUGAGUAAUGUAUGGGGACUGCCCGAUAGAGGGGGAUAACUACUGGAAACGGUGGCUAAUACCGCAUACUAUCGGAUAACCCAGAUGGGAUUAGCUAGUAGGUGGGGUAAAGGCUCACCUAGGCGACGAUCCUUAGCGGGUCUGAGAGGAUGAUCAGCCACACUGGAACUGAGAUACGGCCCAGACGCCUACGGAGGCAGCAGUGGGGAAUAUUGCACAAUGGGCGCAAGCCUGAUGCAGCCAUGCCGCGUGUAUGAAGAAGGCCUUAGGGUUGGAAAGUACUUUCAGCGGGGAGGCGUUACCCGCAGAAGAAGCACCGGCUAACUCCGUGCCAGCCGCCGCGGUAAUAC
rnacentral:rRNA from 1 species